CGCUGCUUUCUGCAAGGUCCCGGGCAGCAGUGGUUACGUCAUUAAGCUCCGCCCGUGCCCCAAACCGGUGCCCGGAACAAAGAUACCAGAGAAGAUUACAGGAGAUCCCCGCCAUAGACCGGGAUAAGGGGGAGCACUGGUGCAACCGAGUGAUAACGAAUUGAUGCCAAGGAAGAAAUGGGCUCUAAAAAGCAUCUAAAUUUGCGGAAAAGGUCUAGGAAAAGAUAAAGGGAUAGCUAUCUUAGGUUAAUCCUUUGUAAUUGUUCCUCCGCCAUCAUCUUCUGACUACUAUCAUCAUCCUUUGUUUGUAUAAUCAUCCAUUCCAUCAUCUCUGGUUCCAGUCAUCUAUUGAUCGACUUGCUCAAAGAAUUUUCAUUGCAAGGAUACUUGUUAUUUUUUGAAGAAAAAGCAGCACAUCCCCAUAUGAUGAAAGCCUUGUUCCCCCCCUCGUAGAGUCGAGCCCAUCCGUUGAGUGAGAGCAGUUUGGGCCAAGCAAUUUGAUGAGGGUCAGGAGGCAUCUCAGUGAAGAUCAGAGGACCAGGAGGAGCCAUUGUGAGGGUGUAAAUUACUCCCUUUGAUUCUCGUGUAUUUUCUUUUGAAGAUGUUGACCUUGCAAUGUGUUCGAGCUCAGGCUGAAUGUUCCAGGUCCUUAAAGUACAUCUGGAAUGCGACCGGCUUUAAUAGGUGGCAUAUAGCAGGUUGCUAUGUAACGGCAAGGAUAAUGUGUUAGGUGUUUAUAAUUCUACAUUUACUUUAUUCAUGUCUUGGUAAAGGAAAAGUAAAAGAAA